rnacentral:tRNA from 1 species
GGGGGUGUCGCCAAAUGGAAAGGCACGGGACUUUGACUCCCGCAUCAUUGGUUCGAUUCCAGUCAUCCCUGCCA